GAUAAGAACGCAGUGAAAUGCGAUAAGUAGUGUGAAUUGCAGAAUUCAGUGAAUCAUCGAAUCUUUGAACGCACAUUGCGCCUUCUAGUAUUCUGGGAGGCAUGCCUGUUUGAGCGUCAUUAAACCUCUCUCAAGUAUGAUUACUUGGAUGUGAAGGAAGAGUACCUUAAACUUAAGGAGUGUUCUCCUUUGAAAUUGAUUAGCAGAUGGUAAUGUUAUUAAAUCCCUGAUGUUGUAAGAAAUAACAGUGGUUUUGUAGACUAUUAUCUAGCUUUAAAUUAUAAUUUUUAUUAUGGUUGACCUCAAAUCAGGUAAGGAUACCCGCUGAACUUAAGCAUAUCAAUAAGCGGAGGA
rnacentral:misc_RNA from 1 species